UUUGGAGGCCAGCAAAUUAAGGUGCAUUGAAUUGGAAAUCAAAAUUCAUGAAGUAUUUUUUUAUAAAUCCAAAGCCGUGAUUAGACUCGACGUUUAAAAAAGGUAUCUGAGCCUACUUAAGUUUCCAUAUGAUGUUUAGCUGAACGCGGCCCUUUUCGAAGGCUCAGUUCUUUCAUGCACCCAAUUGAUUGAACAACAACAAGGAAAAUAACUUACUUAACAAAUAUUUGUGGAGGCCCCUAAAAUGUGGGGGCCCGAAGUGACGAUCCCCCUGGGCCCCUCUGCUGACUCUAAAUCUAGCCCUAAAGUAUUGAAAAUAAAGGAUAAUCAUGGGGCCCGUAUACAUACACUCAAGAUAAUAGCUCCCUUAAAUAUAUGUGCAAUUGCAUAUACAGAGCUCAAUUUUUGAUUUUCAUUAUUUUUAUUUGCCCCACAUACUCAACAUAUUCUCAUCGAAUACUUUCUAUCUGGGUCAUAUUAAAGGUAUGUGUAGAAUUUACUUAUGUGUAUCCCAUACCACAUGGUAUAAACGAAGAUGGCCGCCAAUAAGAAUUACAUCGAUUUCUAUUGAUAACUUGAAGGUGUGAAAAUACUUUCCCAUCAACUAUCACAACUGGAAGAUGCUCUGGCGAGGUUUAGCAGUUAGCAGAAAAGGAUGAGACUUUGGCGAGAGCAAACCAAAUGAGGUGAA